rnacentral:rRNA from 1 species
GACGAAUGCUGGCGGCGUGACUAAUCCAUGCAAGUAGAGCGGAAAGAAGGGAGCUCGCUCCCGGAAGCUAGCGGCGGACGGGUGAGUAACACGUGUGCAACCUACCCUGUAGAGCGGGCUAACAUCGAGAAAUCGGUACUAAUACCGGAUAAUCAUUUGUAGUGCAUGCAUCGAAUGUAAAAGAUGGCUCCGGCCAGCACGACGGGCAGGGCCGGCGGCGCAUUGGCUGGUUGGGAAGGUAAUGGCUUACCAAGGCAACGACGCGUAGUCGACCUGAGCGGGUGAUCGGCCACACUGGGACUGAGACACGGCCCGGACUCCUACGGGAGGCAGCAGUAGGGAAUCUGCCGCAAUGGACGAAAGUCUAACGGAGCAACGCCGCGUGAGUGAUGAAGGUUUUCGGAUCGUAAAGCUCUGUUGUUAGGGAAGAACAAGUGCCGUUUGAAUAAGGCGGCACCUUGACGGUACCUAACCAGAAAUCCACGGCUAACUACGUGCCAGCCGCCGCGGUAACAC